rnacentral:rRNA from 1 species
GGGCGCGAAUAUUAGCACAAUGGGCGAAAGCCUGAUGCAGCAACGCCGCGUGAGGGAUGACGGCCUUCGGGUUGUAAACCUCUUUUAGCAGGGAAGAAGCGAAAGUGACGGUACCUGCAGAAAAAGCGCCGGCUAACUACGUGCCAGCAGCCGCGGUAAUUAA